rnacentral:rRNA from 1 species
CUACGGGAGGCAGCAGUGAGGAAUAUUGGUCAAUGGGCGCAAGCCUGAACCAGCCAUCCCGCGUGCAGGAAGAAGGCGCUAUGCGUCGUAAACUGCUUUUCCAGGGGAAGAAAACCUGAUACGUGUAUCGGCUUGCCGGUACCCUGGGAAUAAGCAUCGGCUAACUCCGUGCCAGCAGCCGCGGUAAUACGGAGGAUGCGAGCGUUAUCCGGAUUUAUUGGGUUUAAAGGGUGCGUAGGCGGAUUAAUAAGUCAGUGGUGAAAACCUUCAGCUUAACUGGAGACUUGCCAUUGAUACUGUUAGUCUUGAGUACGGUCAAGGUAGGCGGAAUGUGUAAUGUAGCGGUGAAAUGCUUAGAUAUUACACAGAACACCGAUUGCGAAGGCAGCUUACUGGGCCAUUACUGACGCUGAUGCACGAAAGCGUGGGGAGCGAACAGGAUUAGAUACCCGCGUAGUCCG